CUAGGUGUAGUGGUCCUUUUUUUUUUUUAUUUUUAUUUUUUUUUUUUUUACCCUGCAAUGUAAAGAAUUGCUGUUUUAGUAGAUAUAACAAAGCUUACAUUGCAGGGUUAAAUAGACCUCUAAUGGCUGUCUUCCUAAUCUACUUUUAUAAUUUAGGAUAGCCUUGGUACCCAAUAUUUAAAAAAAAUGAAAUAAAUAAGUUUUCCUUGAUAACUAGCCAGAGAGCACUACCUUAGGUUGUGUGUGUUCUCACUGUUUUUAUUGAUG